rnacentral:rRNA from 1 species
GACGAACACUGGCGGCAUGCCUAAUACAUGCAAGUCGAACGAGCUUCCGUUGAAUGACGUGCUUGCACUGAUUUCAACAAUGAAGCGAGUGGCGAACUGGUGAGUAACACGUGGGAAAUCUGCCCAGAAGCAGGGGAUAACACUUGGAAACAGGUGCUAAUACCGUAUAACAACAAAAUCCGCAUGGAUUUUGUUUGAAAGGUGGCUUCGGCUAUCACUU